UUAAAAACUUUAGCGCCAUGUACCAAUUCUAGAAUUGGUUGACGAGGUUCCAAGUUAUCGAAUUAUUCGGCGGAUGCUUGGACGUUUUUAUAUGGGAACGCAUGUAGCAACAAAAUAAGGGGGUAACCUUUUAACAAAAAACUACAUCCAUAUAAAU
rnacentral:ncRNA from 2 species